AGUUCUUAAAUUAUUUUCCAUUUAAUAUAUACUAUAAAUAGUUAUAUACCCUUUUAAUCUUAAUUAGAUCCUCAAGAUUGAUGAUGGAUUCUAUUUCAGCUUCAGAACAGGACAUAGAGAAUAAUGUCAACAAUAAGCAGUUUCUUCCAAGAAAGCCAGCAAGACAACCAAAUCCAGUUGUGUAUAGAAAACUGCGUCGAGGAUCAGCUGCAGCCAGAAUUCCUGAGAAGCAAACAGAGCUUUCUACUAAGGAGUUAUUGAGAACUAUUGCGUUCUUGACAUACACUAAUGCUACACAGCCUGACAAAACACAUAUCAACUAUGAGAGUGGAGAGUGGAUCACAAAUAGUGAGGGCGAGUGUGAUGAAAAGGGAAAACAAGAACCUGAGAUGUCAAUACAAAAAUCUAGCAACCACGACAACAAUUACUACAUCAAAAAGCAGAAAAAGAAAAGCAGUCAUAUUGACGAGGUGCUUUUAGUUGCUUAGUUACUUGUGAACUUUUGCUUUGCUUUGCUUAUAUAAGCAAUUUGCAUUGAGGUACAUUCCAGAGCUUGUUCACUGAUAGAGAUGGCAACAGUCCCAGAGUUGAAGCGGAAGACUUGUUCCUACAGCUUUCACCGUGAACCUUUGACGUCUCUGAUUGAGUUGAGCAACCUUAUGACCAGUGGUAACCAGAAGGGGUUUGUUGACCAGUAUGGAGAUAUUCUGACACUGUUGAAGAUGGUAGUCGAUCCGGUGCCGUUGCAGACUCUUCUACAGUUCUACGACCCAGAGCUUCAUUGUUUCACCUUUCAAGAUUAUCAGUUGGCGCCUACUCUUGAGGAGUACUCCAUUCUGCUGAGUGUCCCGGUCCGGUAUCAGGUUCCUUUCUUGGAUGUGCCCAAGGAGGUUGAUUUCAGAGUUGUUGCCAGAGCUCUCCAUUUGGGUAUCAAGGAAGUCAGUGAUAGUUGGAAGUCCAGUGGGGAUGUUGUAGGAUUGCCUUUGAAGUUUCUGUUGAGGGUAGCUAGAGAAGAAGCAGAGAAGGGAAGUUGGGAAGCCUUUCAUGCUCAGUUGGCCGUCAUGAUCUAUGGGAUCGUCCUGUUUCCGAGUAUGCCCAAUUUUGUUGACUAUGCUGCAGUCAGUAUUUUCAUUGGAGGAAAUCCAGUUCCUACUCUAUUAGCUGACACUUACUAUGCUAUUCACAGUAGGCAUGGUAAGGGUGGGGCUAUCAGGUGUUGUCUCCCGCUUUUGCUCAGAUGGUUCUUGUCUCUUCUGCCAGUCAGUGGACCAUUUAUGGAUGCUCAGAGCACGCAUAAGUGGACUCAGAGGGUUAUGUCUCUUACUCCUAUGAUAUCAGAUGGCAAUCUUACCGGAUGGAUGUGCGUAACGUCAUUAUGAGCUGUGGAGGAUUCCGUAAUGUGCCACUCGUAGGGACUAGGGGUUGCAUCAAUUACAACCCGGUUCUUUCUCUUCGCCAGUUGGGGUUUGUGAUGAAGGGAAGACCACUUGAGGCUGAGGUAGCUGAAAGUGUGUAUUUUGAGAAGCAGAGUGACCCGGCUAGAUUGGAGCAGAUAGGAAGAGCUUGGAAGUAUAUUGGUGUGAAGGAUGGAUCUGUCUUAGGGAAGAAGUUUGCCGUUGCUAUGCCCGAUUACACUGAUUGGGUCAAGGAGAGAGUAGAAACUUUGUUGUUACCCUACGAUAGGAUGGAGCCGUUGCAGGAGCAACCACCUUUGAUCCUUGCUGAGAGUGUGCCUGCGGAGCACUACAAGCAAGCCUGAUGGAGAAUCGCCGUUUGAGAGGGAAGGAGCAAGAUACCCAGAUGGAGCUGUACAAAGCCAAAGCUGAUAGUUUGAACUUGGCUCAUCAACUCAGAGGAGUGCGAGAAGAAGAUGCUAGCAGACUGAGAAGCAAGAAGAGAUCCUACGAGGAGGUGGAGAGCAUGUUAGAUGCAGAACACCGGGAGUGCUUGAGGUUGCAGAGGGUUGAGGCCAGCUAUCAGAAGAAGAUCAGAGACUUGGAGAAGCAACUCAGAGAUAAAGACAUCCAGUUGAAGAAGGAAGUAGACUUGAGACAGGCAUCAGAGAACCACCUUGGAGGAGAAGUGGUAGAGCUUAGACGACAACUGAAGGAGAAGAU